rnacentral:rRNA from 1 species
CCUACGGGAGACUGCAGUGAGGAAUAUUGGUCAAUGGCCGGGAGGCUGAACCAGCCAAGUCGCGUGAGGGAAGACGGCCCUACGGGUUGUAAACCUCUUUUGUCAGGGAUUAAGGUGCAGGUCGGGACCUGCUGUGAGAGCACCUUAAGAAAAAGCAUCGGCUAACUCCGUGCAAGCAGCCGCGGUAAUACGGAGGAUGCGAGCGUUAUCCGGAUUUAUUGGGUUUAAAGGGUGCGCAGGCGGAGGCACAAGGCAGCGGGAAAAUCGCGGUGCGCAACCCCGCGUCGGCGUUGAAACUGGGGCGCUUGAGUGCGCGAAGGGUAGGCGGAAUGCGUGGUGUAGCGGUGAAAUGCAUAGAUAUGACGCAGAACUCCGAUUGCGAAGGCAGCCUACCGGCGCGCAACUGACGCUGAUGCACGAAAGCGUGGGUAUCGAACAGGAUUAGAUACCCGAGUAGUC